GCUCUGGGGAGGGGGGUCUCCUGUGUCAUCAGAAACCCCGCUGCUGGGCCAGGAGAGGUCAGCCAGGCUUUCCAUAGCAGGUGCCUUCUUCAGGGACACACAGCCUUGGAAGGUGGCCUUCAUCGUGACCCUGUUGCUGCUGCUCCUUGCGGGGCUCCUGUUCAGUGUGUGGCACUUGCUGUGGCGACGGCGGAAGAGGAUCCGGGCCCGGUGCAGGAAGAAGGAGAGAGCUCAAGCUGAGAAAAAAGCGGCUCUGAGAAAUGGCGGCCCUCUGUGCGAUGCGGCUGCGGGAGAGUCUGGAGAAUGUUACCAACGAGCUGGUGUGGAAGGUGUCUUAGGUCGUGAGGACGCAGAGCCCCGAACUAGAGUCAGCUCUUCCGGCAACGACUGGGACUUAGCAGCAUCCUGGGUGCUGACCUUCCCCAGGUCCCUUCCCGUGGGCGCCUUCACAGGUCCCAGGUGGGACGGAGCCCCUUCCGUGUCCAAGGAGCUUCUUCGGGAAGCUUCCGACGGGGAGGACCAUGCAAGGUGGGGUACCCUCUGCCUGCAUCCCAUGUGCCCUAUAGGCUGCCCCUGAGGGGACUCCGGGCGCCCUGAGCUGCUCAGCAGGGACCCACUGGCUGUGCUCGGUGGGCCCACGAGCCGUGGUCUCCUCCAGAAACACAGGCCAGGAGGGCGGGCUGGACACGUGUGUGACCCCAGCAGCUCCCUCCUUGGUUUCCCAGGCACUGCGAUGUCCCCUGGCUUCCACUUGGGAGCGCCAUAGCUGGGUGACACUUAAGUCAGUCUAUGACAGACAAACCAGUGGUCACUCAGCUGUCACUAGGUUAGCUGGGGCGGACAUGGGGACAGUCACAUGCCAGCUAUGGAGGCCUUUGUACUGUUCUUUAGACACUUUAGCAUAUGUGCUUUUCCAGUUUUAUUUAUGUGUUAAAAUUUCUCUUCCAUAGUGUGUUCACAUGUUUGUAGAAAUUUUUUUACCCAGUAAAAUUUAUAUUCUAAA